GAUUUCUUAGUAUAAUGUAGUAUGUUUAACUUCCAAUUAAAAGGUUAAGGGAAUUA
rnacentral:tRNA from 1 species